rnacentral:rRNA from 1 species
CCCUUUACUCCCUACGGGAGGCAGCAGUGGGGAAUAUUGGACAAUGGGCGAAAGCCUGAUCCAGCCAUGCCGCGUGUGUGAAGAAGGUCUUCGGAUUGUAAAGCACUUUAAGUUGGGAGGAAGGGUUGUAGAUUAAUACUCUGCAAUUUUGACGUUACCGACAGAAUAAGCACCGGCUAACUCUGUGCCAGCAGCCGCGGUAAUACAGAGGGUGCAAGCGUUAAUCGGAAUUACUGGGCGUAAAGCGCGCGUAGGUGGUUCGUUAAGUUGGAUGUGAAAUCCCCGGGCUCAACCUGGGAACUGCAUCCAAAACUGGCGAGCUAGAGUAUGGUAGAGGGUGGUGGAAUUUCCUGUGUAGCGGUGAAAUGCGUAGAUAUAGGAAGGAACCACCAGUGGCGAAGGCGACCACCUGGACUGAUACUGACACUGAGGUGCGAAAGCGUGGGGAGCAAACAGGAUUAGAUACCCUGGUAGUCCACGCCGUAAACGAUGUCAACUAGCCGUUGGGAGCCUUGAGCUCUUAGUGGCGCAGCUAACGCAUUAAGUUGACCGCCUGGGGAGUACGGCCGCAAGGUUAAAACUCAAAUGAAUUGACGGGGGCCCGCACAAGCGGUGGAGCAUGUGGUUUAAUUUGAAGCAACGCGAAGAACCUUACCAGGCCUUGACAUCCAAUGAACUUCCCAGAGAUGGGAUU